AGCUGGUGGAAGUGCGUCAGUCAUAGCACUGUCAACAAAACCCCAAAACCGUAAACUCAGAGCAAUUCGCCUGGUUCCUCUUUAAAGCAAAACCAGGAGGUUCCGCCAGCUACCAGAGGACGAAGUGGGCUAAGUGAAAUGAAAAUUUGAGAGUUUCUCUCCAUCACUUAGCCCCGCCUCUCAUUCUUUU
rnacentral:telomerase_RNA from 1 species